AGUGAACGCUGGCGGUAGGCCUAACACAUGCAAGUCGAACGGCAGCACAGUAAGAGCUUGCUCUUACGGGUGGCGAGUGGCGGACGGGUGCGGAAUACAUCGGAAUCUACUUUUUCUUGGGGGAUAACGUAGGGACACUUACGCUAAUACCGCAUACGACCUACGGGUGAAAGCAUGGGAUCUUCGGACCUUGCGCGAUUGAAUGAGCCGAUGUCGGAUUAGCUAGUUGGCGGGGUAAAGGCCCACCAAGGCGACGAUCCGUAGCUGGUCUGAGAGGAUGAUCAGCCACACUGGAACUGAGACACGGUCCAGACUCCUACGGGAGGCAGCAGUGGGGAAUAUUGGACAAUGGGCGCAAGCCUGAUCCAGCCAUACCGCGUGGGUGAAGAAGGUCUUCGGGUUGUAAAGCCCUUUUGUUGGGGAAGAAAAGCAGCAGGUUAAUACCCCGCUGUUCUGACGUUACCAAAAGAAUAAGCACCGGCUAACUUCGUG
rnacentral:rRNA from 1 species